CCCACGGCUUACGCCGUGGGCUGUAUUCUUGUGCCGCUUCGCGGCU
rfam:Cyanobacteria bacterium 13_1_20CM_4_61_6 13_1_20cm_4_scaffold_181501, whole genome shotgun sequence.